rnacentral:rRNA from 1 species
AUUGAACGCUGGCGGCAUGCCUAACACAUGCAAGUCGAACGGUAACAGGAAAAGGCGAGGUGCUGCGCUGGGGAGAGGCGGGUAUGGGAACGAGGCCUGGGGAACUGCCUGAUGGAGGGGGAGAGCUACUAAAAACGGAAGCGAAUAGCGCAUAAAGGCGCAGGACCAAAGAAGGGGACCUUAUGGGCGCUGGCGAUAGGAGAUGCCCAGAUGGGAUUAGUUAGUUGGUGGGGUAACGGCUCACCGAGGCGACGAUCCGUAGCUGGUCUGAGAGGAUGACCAGCCACACUGGAACUGAGACACGGUCCAGACUCCUACGGGAGGCAGCAGUGGGGAAUUUUGGACAAUGGGCGCAAGCCUGAUGCAGCCAUGCCGCGUGUAUGAAGAAGGCCUUCGGGUUGUAAACCACUUUUGUCAGGGAAGAAGAGGUUCUGGCUAAUACCUGGGCUUAUUGACGUUACCUGAAGAAUAAGCACCGGCUAACUCCGUG